UUUAAUGACUCUCGGCAACGGAUAUCUCGGCUCUCGCAUCGAUGAAGAACGUAGCGAAAUGCGAUACUUGGUGUGAAUUGCAGAAUCCCGUGAACCAUCGAGUUUUUGAACGCAAGUUGCGCCCGAAGCCAUUUGGUCAAGGGCACGUCUGCCUGGGCGUCACGU
rnacentral:rRNA from 3 species